UAGAGUUAGGGGGUGACUAGUGACAGAGUGAGGGAAGGGGUGACUAGUGGCAGAGUGAGGAAAGGAAGGGGUGACUAGUGACAGAGUGAGGGAGGUGGUGACUGUCACUAGUCACCACCUUCCUCACUCCGUCACUAGUCACCACCUCCCUCACUCUGUCACUACUCCCUCUCUCUUUCUGUCACUAGUCACCCCCUCCGUCCCUUACUCUGUCACUAGUCACCCCCUAACUC